UACGGAGGGUGCGAGCGUUGUCCGGAAUCAUUGGGCGUAAAGGGCGCGUAGGCGGCCUUCUAAGUCAGACGUGAAAUCCCCCGGCUUAACCUGGGAACUGCGUCUGAUACUGGGAGGCUUGAGUAUGGGAGAGGGAUGUAGAAUUCCAGGUGUAGCGGUGAAAUGCGUAGAUAUCUGGAGGAAUACCGGUGGCGAAGGCGGCAUCCUGGACCAUAACUGACGCUGAGGCGCGAAAGCUAGGGGAGCAAACGGG
rnacentral:rRNA from 1 species